rnacentral:lncRNA from 1 species
CAACAAGCUAUAAAGGGCCCCAAAAUUCAUAGUGUAAAACCAUUUAAACGGGAAAACCAACGUUCUAAUCUAUAUAAAAUUUUUAAAAAACGAGAAACGAGAAACACGUAUAAAUUACAUAAACAAACGACAACUACAGUACAUCAGAUUCCUGACUUAGGACAGGUGCAAACAUUUGCAACGGGAUUAAACGUUUUAAUGGAUCCAAACCUUCUCCCUUUUUCUGAAACAAUAGCAUAACAUCACAACAUAGAAAAACACACGA